CAGUCUGUCGUAGCCAUUGUGUUUACACUUUGAACUGCCAGACAAAAUCUCGUUAAAAAUAACUAACAAAGUCAGUUCGUUAUAUUUCAUUGUGGAGUACAUGUUGUGAAAAUAUAGUGUUUAAGUUUUUUUUAUUAAAAAUACAGCGUAUAAGUGUUUUUACUAAAAAUAAAGUUGGCCUAUAGGGGAACCGAGCACCCAAAACUAACUUUGGUAACGCGCCUUUUGUAUACCUCAGCGGUGGUGUGGAAAUUACAAACUCCCAAAACAUUUACUAAAAAUUCCCUAACACAUUUCUUCCAUAGUGGCAUCAUUGGCAAAUGAUAUAAAAAUUGAGGACUUUGACAGCGCUCUCUCGAAUCAAAGAGUUUCGGAUCAAUUUAUCCAUGGGCUCGACAACGACUGAACGAUAGAGCGUCAGCGUACGUGUGAAGUUAGUUUGCAAAAUUUUGCUAUGAAAUGCCGACCACUGGUAUAGUUAGACUUCUUGGCAAGGUACUACAGUCGCUACCUAGCUAGGAGAUCGUAGCAAUAGCGUAGGUAUAAAAAAAAUUAUGAAUCCUCAUUAAUAAAAUUUUCUUUGUAGAUGUAUCGUUGAACAAAGCAUUACAGUCGUUUUAAAAAGUGUUCCACCCAACCAAUUAUCGUCAUUUAAGAAAAUAUUGGCAGUGGCAUUCCUACUAAGUACAUCACUAAUGCAAGCGCCGACACCUAGGCUGUUGGAGUAUUUGAAUGUUAUUUUUGUAAUCAAGGAAUUUGAGACGGAAGGAAACACUUACUAGUAUUCAUGAGAUUGUGUUUAAGUUAAGAGAAGAACGUUGAAUGCGGCAUAACCAUUGCUACUAAAAUCAACGAUUCAAGAUUACACCGAAUUACUACGGAUUUGGGUUGUAUACAUAAGCGGAGCAAAAGUAUAACAACAAAGAAAAUGUUUACAACCAGAGAGAAUUAUUAAAGACUAUCAGACAGUUGAAGUGACGACAAAGUUUCUCAAAUCGAAAUGACAAUUGAAACAGCAAUUUCAUAUACCAAACGUAUAAUUACUCUAAUAAAGAUUUUCAACUCCGUGAAACACAA